rnacentral:misc_RNA from 1 species
GGCCCCUGGCCCUGGGGU